AGAACGAACGUUGGCGGCGUGGAUGAGGCAUGCAAGUCGAACGUGAAAGCCGCAAGGCGAGUAAAGUGGCGGACGGGCGAGUAACACGUAAUCAAGCUGCCUGCGAGACGGGAAUAACCUCGGGAAACCGAGGCUAAGACCCGAUGGUCUCCAGGGACCGCAUGGUCCUAGGAGUAAAUGGACGGGGGAUCCUUCGGGACCGCCUGCUCGCAGAGGUGAUUGCGGCCUAUCAGCUAGUUGGUGGGGUAAUGGCCUACCAAGGCAACGACGGGUAGCCGGCCUUAGAGGGUGGUCGGCCGCACUGGGACUGAGACACUGCCCAGACUCCUACGGGAGCUGCAGUCGAGAAUCUUCCGCAAUGGGACGAAAGCCUGACGGAGCGACGCCGCGUGGAGGAUGAAGGCCUUGGGUUGUAAACUCCUGUCACGAGUUAAGAAGGCAAGCAAGCGAACAGCUGUUUGCUCGUGACGUAAGCCUACGAGAGGAAGCACUGGACUAACUCUGUCG
rnacentral:rRNA from 1 species